rnacentral:lncRNA from 1 species
CAGACCGCACUAAGCUAAGCCGGUUUUCAUUUCUGAGGCCGACAGGUGGGCCCCGGAGUCAGUGUCGCUGUUAGCCGCAUCAGCAGCGAGAUUACGGGUUUUGUGCUACACUUUUGUCCACGAACAUGGGUUAUGUGAUAAAAAAACAAAAUGUAUAGUUUGGCGAUACGGUUCAUCAGAAACUAAAAGUUUUGUGAUAUUUACUGAAAAAGGAUUUAUAUUUCAUCUGACGGCAUGAAUUUCAUAGCCAUCCAAAGUCAGAGGCCAAUUCAAGAUGGCUGAUCUGGGCCUUGUAGGCUUGAGCAAGGACGAACUAGUCCUUGUUCCAUAUGUAUGACCACGAGUCUUUCCUCUGAGUGAUGUAAAUUGUCGAAAGAGUUCCAUGAGUUGAGUGAAUUGAUCAUAUGCAUAGAGAGAAAAUGGCAGUUGAAAGAGAGUCUCCUUCCUUUCACAUUGGAAAAAUUGCUGGACAGUACGUAGCUUCCUUGUUUAUAGCAAAUGAGAAGAGGUGAGGCCAUUUUCUUUCCAGUGGUGUAACCUGCCAGUUAUCCUUCCAAAAAAAAUGCUAGAAUCACCAUUAUUAACCUUGCUAGCAGAGAGAUGUUUAUACAAAUCGAUGAGCUUAAGUAUGUCAGUCCACCUCGUCCUCUUUUCUUCUUCUACAAUUCUACGAAUGGCAGCAGCUCCUUGAUGAGCGAGCGGCCCAAGGGAGAUGACACCGUCCGUGCGCGCGGUGGCGGCCUCCUCCGACCGGGACGACGAGCGGGCAGUUGGCGGCGUGGCGGGCGGCAGGGCGACGUGGCGGGGCAGCAGGCGGCGCGGCGGGGCAGCAGGCGGCGCGGCGGGCAGUAGAGCGACGGGCGGCAGGUGGCGCGGCGGCCUCCGUGCUGCUUCGCCCAAAUCAAUCCGCCCAAGCCGCUCCUCGUCGGGGACGAAGGCUUGCGCCUGGCUGCCUGUGAGGAUUGAUUUGAUUUUGCUUGGCCCUUGUUGUUUUGCUUGGAUUGAUUUGAGGUGGAAUGGUACUCAGUACGUUGCUACUGCAUUUCGCACCUGGAUGGAUGGUCAGUGCCCGAGAUCCCCAAUUUCUGACUGGGUUAGCAUUUACUUUGAGCUGGAGAUCCCCAAUUCUUGCUUCAGCGAGUGUCACUAGCUUAGCUCCAUCUCAUCUGUAUUAGCAUUGUUCAGAGCAAGAGACGAUGGGGACGGGUCUCGUCCGUUGCAUCGAUCCAUUGCUUCGGCCCCCUUAUUUUAUUUUCAGGCAGCUCGUGGGUUCUAGGCAGCUGAAGCCCUGCGAGAAACUGGUCGAGACUAAGCCACCGCGCCUGAUCCCUCACCCAGACAGACCCCCAGACCAAGCCCCGCGCCUCCUUUCUCCCUCCCGAGUUUCGCCCGAGCUCCUAGGGGGGCGCCGUCGCGCACACCCUCCCCCAUCCCUCCGGCGGCCGCCCCUUCACCUUACCACAUCCCGCCGCCCGCUGGGCAGCGGCCCCGGAGUCCUCUCGGUGAGCCGCCGCCGCCUUCCCGAGUCCUCUCGGAGGGACGCCGCCCCCACUCAGAGAUCCGCCGCUGUCCAGGAGCUCCUCGCCCUGCAGUCAAAGAUCUCGUCACGCCGCCACACCACGUCGCCCCGCUGUCGACGGAGCUCCGCCCCCGAGGUGGCUCUCACCCCGGGAAUUUCUCAAAUCCUUGGAACGUCCUCCUAAUGUUGUCCACAUCCGCAUGGUUCUUGAUGUUUACUACUUCUUGAUGCUUUGUUGGCAAUCCUCCUGGGAAGAUCUCGAUGCUUUGUUACUAUUCGAAUUGAUGUAGUUUAUUCUUGAUGCUUUGUUGGCAAUCCUCCCGUGAAGAUUUUCUAUGUUACAUGACAGUGAUGAAUAUGAAGAAAAUGGAUGGAUCUAAAUUGUGAGCCUCCAGUUUUGUUUUGUUUGAAUUUCAAGAGAAUGGAUAAAUCUAAAUGUUCAAUUUCUGUUGCUUGGUGAACUUGUAGCCAGCCACAUGUUGUACCUUUCUUUUGUUAGGCUUGUACUGAAGUAUCGUGUUUUUUAUUAUAAUUUAUUUACACUAUAUUUUGCUUAGAAAUCAUCUUAUUAGUCAGCUAUGAGCUAUGUGGUAAAACAAU